UACGUAGGGCGCAAGCGUUUAUCCGGAAUUAUUGGGCGUAAAGAGCUCGUAGGCGGUUUGUCGCGUCUGCCGGUGAAAGUCCGGGCUCACGUCCGGAUCUGCGGUGGGUACGGGCAGACUAGAGUGAUGUAGGGAGACUGGAAUUCCUGGUGUAGCGGUGAAAUGCGCAGAUAUCAGGAGGAACACCCGGUGGCGAAGGCGGGUCUCUGGGCAAUAACUGACGCUGAGGAGCGGAAAGCGUGGGGGAGCGAACAGG
rnacentral:rRNA from 1 species